rnacentral:lncRNA from 1 species
GUGUGUGUGUGAAAUCCCUGAGGUGAUUGCUUUUUUGGUUCUCUGUCUGUCCAGGGUGUUUUCUUCAGUCUGUCUGGUUCUUUACACUUGUAUCUUAAGAGAGUUGUCCCUUUUGUCCAGUUUUGAAACACGGAAGUGAAACCCAUCCGGCUGGGACAUUCUCCCUUCUGCGCUUUAGUUUAGGCGUGUGUGGGGGUGGUUGUGACUUAGGGGGACAAGCUCUAUCUUCACGUACUUGGUCCCAUUCUCAGUGUCCGAAGAAGGCCCGCCUUGUGGGUUGGGCCUCCACACUUUAACCUUGUGAAUCUCUUCGACCCCCGUUUCCUCAUCUGAAAAGUGGGGGUAGUAACACCCGCCUCACAGAACUGGGAGAGUUGGUGAUAACGUGUGUGUGCCAGCAACUGGUAACACACAGAUGCGGAGUCAGACCUAAAAGAACCUUUGCAGAGCUCCCGGACCAGGCGUUCUCACACGUCACUGGUGGGGCUCUCAACUGGAUGGGUCCCUAAAACCACUCAGAAGUAACUUUCAAAAUUACAAACCUAAGUUGUGGGGACUUCUGUGAUGCGGUAACAAGGACUCACUCAACCUUGCAGGUAACGUGUUGGGAGAGCUGGACAAGAUACAUCCAGUAACUUUUUCCCCCCAGGCAUCGCACAGCAGGCAGUGCACGACUGCGGUGCCUGAGAGAUAAAGGGAUAAAAAUGAAGUCAGCCUUACAUUGCCCUGGCUUCUGCCUGGAGGCAGUUUCUGACAACAGGACCUGGGAGGAGGACCCCAAAGAGAGGCUGGCGUCCUCUCUGACUUGUGGACUCAAAGGUGAUCCAGAGAAGCCAGCCCAGGACCACUUAGAAAUCUCUGCUCAGGUCUUGCUGCGAAAAGGCGGGCAGUUCCAAGCACUAGGCAUUCGGCAGAUGCCAGCUCCUGGUUGAAAAGAACCUUUUGUCCUGCUGGUUGAUGGUGGGAAAGUGAAUCCUCGGAACUGUCAGAAGGAAAAGAAAGUAUGUUACUUUUUUGCUCUGAAAACAAGACUUGGAAGAUUUAAAGUGGUAAAUUUUGGUCUUCUGGGUAGAAUCUUGGCCGUUUGGAUAAAAUCUUAGGGCUUUUGGGGCCCUGAUGUUCCAUGACCCCAGUUGAGGCCUGAACACCCUCUGUCUUUCUUAUUAUUUCCAGUAGUGAAAAUCUAAAUUAAGAAAAUGCAUAACUGUUUUAAAGAAGAAAUACCCAAUUGUUUUCACAUAGAAAGUUUCUUAAGCUUAAAAUCCAGUCCACUUGCAGGAUAUUUUUAGUCUCUUGAGAAUGUUCCAGAUCGCUGACUCAGUCAGCACAGGCUCUUAAAAAUGCAUGUUUUUAAACCCCACAAUGUGACAUUGUCUCAGCUCCUUGCCGUUUGAGUCGACCGUCCAGUCCCAAGUCGGCCUUGGUUUCCUAGGGGCUGUUCU